rnacentral:ncRNA from 2 species
AACUCAUCAAGAGCAAUAGAGGGACGUGGCCCAAUGAAGUUGCAGCAACCUUUCCAUAUAGGGAAAAGGUGCUAAUUCCACCAGCACGCUGGCAGAUGAGAG